CCAACUGGGGUGGCCGUGGCCAUCUUACUGGGCAGCAUUGGAUGGUGUCAGGUCUCUAAUACUGCCUGGUAAUGAUGACGGCGGGGCCCUGCACG
rnacentral:pre_miRNA from 14 species